CCCGGGCGCCAGCUGGGUGUGGGUCGCCUAGGGGGAGCUAGUGGGCAGCGCGGACCCCGGAAGUUUGGGGCCCCUUCCCUGAAAUGGGGGCUCGGGGUCGGCCCCUCGAACCCCCAGUGCUGUGGACUUGAUUCCUCGUUAUAACUCCUCGAGCCGUGGUGAAACCCGACCUAAAAAUACGUGAUUUAGGCUUGUCUUGGUGUAUCUGAGAGAACGACCGGCUGCCUGUGUGACAGUCAAGUAGCUAAAACAAACAACCCCCAUCCAGCUGGACCUCCGUGAAGUUGCACCUGGGGCAGAAAGAUAGGCUACUGAGUGGUCACACAGAGACUUUCCUCCCUGGGGGCAGAGGAAGCCAGAAGGCUGCUUGGGAGACCCUGUCUCUGUCUGCCUGAAGCACAGGUGAACUGGAUUGCGGAGGGCACCUUGACAAGAAGAAAGAUCACAGCUGGAGCAGUCAGGGAGGUCUGAUGGAGAGGGCCACAUCGCGCAAAGUCAUACAGGUUUCUUCAGGAAGCCAUCUGCUUGAACAGUCUGCAGAAUGAAAAUGAAUCAUCCUGGGGACUUCCCUGCUGGCGCAGUGGUUAAGAAUCCGCCUACCAACGCAGGGGACACAGGUUCAAUCCCUGGUCCGGGAAGAUCCCACAUGCUGUGGAGCAACUAAGCCCAUGUGCCACAACUGCUGAGCCCGCGUGCUGCAACUACUGAGCCUGCGCGCCUAGAGCCCAUUCUCCGCAACAAGAGAAGCCACCACAAUGAGAAGCCCACGCAUCGCAACGAAGAGUAGCCCCUGCUCACCGCAACUAGAGAAAGCCCGCGCAUAGCAACGAAGACCCAAUGCAGCCAAAAAUAAAUAAAAUCAUUAAAAAAAAAAAAAAAGAAUCAUCCUAGUCAGAAACAUGGACAUGCAGGAAGGAAUGAAAAA